UACGUAGGGUGCAAGCGUUAAUCGGAAUUACUGGGCGUAAAGCGCGUGUAGGCGGUUCGGUAAGUCCGCUGUGAAAGUCGGGGGCUCAACCCUCGGAAGCCGGUGGAUACUGUCGAGCUAGAGUACGGAAGAGGCGAGUGGAAUUCCUGGUGUAGCGGUGAAAUGCGCAGAUAUCAGGAGGAACACCAAUUGCGAAGGCAGCUCGCUGGGACGUUACUGACGCUGAGACGCGAAAGCGUGGGGAGCAAACAGG
rnacentral:rRNA from 1 species